rnacentral:rRNA from 1 species
AUUGAACGCUGGCGGCAGGCUUAACACAUGCAAGUCGAGCGAGCGGCGGACGGGUGAGUAAUGUCUGGGAAACUGCCUGCUCGAGGGGGUUAACUACUGGAAACGGUCGCUAAUACCUCAUACCAUCGGAUGUGCCCAGAUGGGAUUGGCUAGUAGGUGUGGUAAUGGCUCACCUAGGCGACGAUCCCUAGCUGGUCUGCGAGGAUGACCAGCAACACUGGAACUGUGACACGGUCCAGACGCCUAAGGGAGGCAGCGGUGGGGAAUAUUGGACAAUGGGCGCAAGCCGGAUGCGGCCAUGCCGGGGGUGUGAAGAAGGCCUGCGGGUUGUAAAGCACUUUCAGCGAGGAGGCGUUACUCGCAGAAGAAGCACCGGCUAACUCCGUGCCAGCAGCCGCGGUAAUAC